UCCACAUCACGCUGACAAGGACUCGGCGUGUCGACAUCGGGCAAAGGAAUAGACACCGCGGCCCUUCUCCAUAUGAAUGAUCUUUCGGCGUUAUGCACACAUCCUGGUCCCGCAUCCCCCUCCUUGUCUCAUCCCACCGGCUCUAUAUAUAUCCGUAUUUACCACAUAUCCGUAUAGUAUAUACGAUUCCAGAUAUACAUUAUACUUUGUUCCUCUUGUACGUUUUUAACUUUUAUACCAGAAUUGUGCUGUCCAGAGGCCUGUACCAAAUGCAUGGAGGCUUUGGAGGAGUUGGGCCCUUUCAUUAUCAUAAAGGGAAGACCCUUCUGAAAAUGGAGACAUACACCUGGUGGUGAAGAAGAAAGAGGAAGAGAAAGAAAAGGACUUAACAUUGGGAGUUAUUCAUGUUUGACAACUAUUCUUUUAUGCAUUCCAUUAACCUACUGUUGAUAGAUCCAGAAUUGUUUGAUGAUCAUGAUGAUGAUGGGUGUUCUUGGUUUGGAUUAAUGUUCUGUGUGGAGAGGAAGGAAUGGUUUGUCUGUAGCUUUGGGUUUGGGUGGAUAUGGAGGAAGAAUUGCAUUUGGGCACAUGAGAAAAAGGUGUUGGUUUUAGGGUUGUGGUUUGGGGUGAAGGGAGAAUGUGUUGUUGUUGUGGUUUUUGGCAUUUGGAGUUGUAUCUCUCAUACAUUCCAAUAUUAUGGCUUGGCAGUGCACCACCAGAAUGUCCUUUGUCCAAUUAAGCACCCAUGAAAGCUUUGUUUGAGAAGUUUCUUUCAAAAACAAGAGCUUGAGUAAUUUGUACACCAUAUUCUUGUUUAUGGCAAUAUCAAGUGCUGAUUACUACCCAAGAUAUUUUUGAAUAUAUAUAAAGAAGGUAGUGUGAAAGAGUGAAUGUGGCUUCAAUGUCCCAAAGUACACAGAUGCAUUUGAACAAGUUAAGCUUGAACAAUGUUAAUUCAAUCUUCUGCUCUCCUUGCAAACUUAAACAAUCAAAUAGAGACUUUUAGCUACAGUCUCUAUUUGAUAAAUGGGUCAUGCCACCAAUCAUUAAUGGUAUUCUUUGUGAUACUUUGAAAAUCUUUGUGAAUACUAAUUCUCAUGUCUUCAAUAAGACAUGUUAAAC
rnacentral:lncRNA from 1 species